GACGAACGCUGGCGGCGUGCCUAAUACAUGCAAGUAGAACGCUGAAGAGAGGAGCUUGCUCUUCUUGGCUGAGUUGCGAACGGGUGAGUAACGCGUAGGUAACCUGCCUUGUAGCGGGGGAUAACUAUUGGAAACGAUAGCUAAUACCGCAUAACAAUGGAUGACACAUGUCAUUUAUUUGAAAGGGGCAAUUGCUCCACUACAAGAUGGACCUGCGUUGUAUUAGCUAGUAGGUGAGGUAAUGGCUCACCUAGGCGACGAUACAUAGCCGACCUGAGAGGGUGAUCGGCCACACUGGGACUGGGACACGGCCCAGACUCCUACGGGAGGCAGCAGUAGGGAAUCUUCGGCAAUGGGGGCAACCCUGACCGAGCAACGCCGCGUGAGUGAAGAAGGUUUUCGGAUCGUAAAGCUCGGUUGUAAGUCAAGAACGGGUGUGAGAGUGGAAAGUUCACACUGUGACGGUAGCUUACCAGAAAGGGACGGCUAACUACGUG
rnacentral:rRNA from 1 species